GAUGAACGCUAGCGGGAGGCCUAACACAUGCAAGCCGAGCGGUAGAGAUUCUUCGGAAUCUUGAGAGCGGCGUACGGGUGCGGAACACGUGUGCAACCUGCCUUUAUCAGGGGGAUAGCCUUUCGAAAGGAAGAUUAAUACCCCAUAAUAUAUUUGAUGGCAUCAUUAGAUAUUGAAAGCUUUGGCGGAUAGAGAUGGGCACGCGCAAGAUUAGAUAGUUGGUGAGGUAACGGCUCACCAAGUCGAUGAUCUUUAGGGGGCCUGAGAGGGUGAUCCCCCACACUGGUACUGAGACACGGACCAGACUCCUACGGGAGGCAGCAGUGAGGAAUAUUGGACAAUGGGUUAGCGCCUGAUCCAGCCAUCCCGCGUGAAGGACGACGGCCCUAUGGGUUGUAAACUUCUUUUGUACAGGGAGAAACCUACUCUCGUGAGAGUAGCUGAAGGUACUGUACGAAUAAGCACCGGCUAACUCCGUG
rnacentral:rRNA from 1 species